UUACAGAACUUGCCAUAGAUGUAUGGAAGGCUAUUGUAUCAGGCGUGUCUUGGAGUCCCAUGAGUUCUGCAUUGUUACAGCACUCGUACCUAGCAGUCCGAUAAGCUGUACUCGUACACUGCAAUCGCCCUUUGAUUUCCGAUGGCCGACUCACGAGGUAAAUUAGAAUGCGAAUUUGAUUCGUUUCGACGGUCGAUUCCGGAUUUAAAAUAAAAUACAUUAGCCUGCGUGUUGCACCUCGUGAAAUACUGGUAUGUGGUAUGUGUAAUUGAGUGUUUGUUUUAUACUGAUUCACGCGUGCUCGUAAUAUGUAGAUUAUUUUAGUCGUUGCACACAAACUUGAGCAGGGUGUUUAGAAAUGUAGAAUUAAAUUCUCUACUACUAAGUUUGUGUAUAAACAACUUUUUGUUCGACUGACGCGUAAACGCGACGUACCUGCUGCAACGCGCAGCGCACACGGCAGUCGUUACACCGCGUGGUCUGCAAGCGUGUCUUUCUAAUUGCCACGCGUUUUGAUGUUUUAAUUGAAUUAAUCGACGUGUAUUCUUUUGGCCAUCAGCAAAAUAUUCGGGACGGGCAUGUGUGGCGGUUUUGUUUAAUGAUUUGUCGCGGUUAGAGUGUUCUUAACUAAGAAUGUAUUUUGUUGACAUGUAAAAUCUAAACUUGUAUUGUUAAUAAAGAAAUAGUAAGAUAUA